rnacentral:rRNA from 1 species
UACGGAGGGUGCAAGCGUUGCUCGGAUUUAUUGGGCGUAAAGAGCUCGUAGGCGGCUUGUCGCGUCGUCCGUGAAAACCUGCAGCUCAACUGCAGGCUUGCGGUCGAUACGGGCAGGCUGGAGUUCGGUAGGGGAGACUGGAAUUCCUGGUGUAGCGGUGAAAUGCGCAGAUAUCAGGAGGAACACCGGUGGCGAAGGCGGGUCUCUGGGCCGAUACUGACGCUGAGGAGCGAAAGCGUGGGGAGCGAACAGG